rnacentral:rRNA from 1 species
GACGAACGCUGGCGGCGUGCUUAACACAUGCAAGUCGAACGGAAAGGCCCUGCUUUUGUGGGGUGCUCGAGUGGCGAACGGGUGAGUAACACGUGAGUAACCUGCCCUUGACUUUGGGAUAACUUCGGGAAACUGGGGCUAAUACCGGAUAGGAGCUCCUGCUGCAUGGUGGGGGUUGGAAAGUUUUGGCGGUUGGGGAUGGACUCGCGGCUUAUCAGCUUGUUGGUGGGGUAGUGGCUUACCAAGGCUUUGACGGGUAGCCGGCCUGAGAGGGUGACCGGCCACAUUGGGACUGAGAUACGGCCCAGACUCCUACGGGAGGCAGCAGUGGGGAAUAUUGCACAAUGGGCGGAAGCCUGAUGCAGCAACGCCGCGUGCGGGAUGACGGCCUUCGGGUUGUAAACCGCUUUCGCCUGUGACGAAGCGUGAGUGGCGGUAAUGGGUAAAGAAGCACCGGCUAACUACGUG